UACGUAGGGACCGAGCGUUGUCCGGAUUCAUUGGGCGUAAAGAGCUCGUAGGCGGCUGUUCAAGUCGAACGUGAAAACUCGGAGCUCAACUCCGAGCCUGCGUUCGAUACUGGACGGCUAGAGUCUGGUAGGGGGAUCUGGAAUUCCUGGUGUAGCGGUGGAAUGCGCAGAUAUCAGGAGGAACACCAGUGGCGAAGGCGGCUUCCUGGACCUGUUCUGACGCUGAGGAGCGAAAGCGUGGGGAGCGAUCCGG
rnacentral:rRNA from 1 species